rnacentral:lncRNA from 1 species
CUAAGAACCCUGAUUGACCAGGAAGAAAAAAAAUUAAGUCUGAAUCAUGUCCCUCAAGAGCUUGGCACACACGUGAUUUCAAUACAGUCCGUGUUCUGGAGGAAAGACGGGACUCUUGGAGCUUCAGUAAGGAACACAAAGGCCUUUGACUGCAAGGAACUCAGUCUACUGGGAGAGAUGGAUACAUCAACAGAAUCAUCGAAAUGCCUUUCCUUUAAAGCAAAGACCAUUCAGAAUCAAAGGCUCAUUUCCUGGAAAUACAGGGCUGGACGGCAGCCAUCCCUCAAAUGAGGCCCCAUGGAGAAGACUUGGAAAUGCACGCUCCCAACUCAGGUUUCCAGUGGAUGCAUAUUAAACCCCAAGGACUGGAAGCUGAGGUCAUGGAUUGCUUUCUCAUUGCUGUCAAGGUGCCCAAAAAAAAGAGACACUGUUUGCACCCCCGGGCUCACUGGUUCAGUCUUUCUCCUUCUUCCCCGGCUUCUCACCACUCCUCAUGCACUUUUCCAUGCACCCCUGAACAUGGGCACUGGAUGAAGCCAAAAUCUGGAAAAGCCAAAAGAACUCAGCAGGAAACCAGUAGACAGAUUCUCUGGUCAGUAGAAGCCCUGCCUCUACCUGCAAUAGGAAACUGA